UACAAACUGUCAUUUCUUCUUUUACAAAAAUGUGAGGGGUGUACUCACUUUUGUGAGAUACUCAGGGCUGCUUGUCGGACGAGGACAAGUCGCGUCAAUUGUGAACAUCAGAACUAAGGACAUUCUUGAUGAAGAUGAACGCAAAACGUGUAUGCGGGCCCAUGGAAUCGCUGCUGCUUGCCUUGUUAUCUUUCUCCCUUGUUCGAGGUCACACUACUAGCCGACCAGGUGCGAAUCCGGCGGAGGGCAAUGGUGCUGGGUUCAGUGUCGGCGGUCUGAAGUCGGUCCUGGAGAACACUGUGUCCCCUGCCUUCGGUGCCACCAUCAUCAUCAUCAUCACCGUUAUUGUGUCGGGGAGCGCCUAUCUCUGUUUCCUGAAGUACGUCUGUACGGGCUGCUGCAAAGCCACUCAGGUGGCUCCAGUCACACACCUGGACCCUAACAAGAGUGAAGAACAGGUGUAGUGUGUAACGGGUGUAGUGAGGGACAGGUGUAGUGAGGGACGGGUGUAGUGAGGGACAGGUGUAGUGUGUAACGGGUGUAGUGUGUAAUGAGGCGUAGUGUGUAACGGGUGUAGUGUGGGACGGGUGUAGUGUGGGACGGGUGUAGUGUGGGACGGGUGUAGUGUGUAACGGGUGUAGUGUGUAACGGGUGUAGUGUGUAACGGGUGUAGUGAGGGACGGGUGUAGUGUGUAACGGGUGUAGUGUGUAACGGGUGUAGUGUAGGGACGGGUGUAGUGUGUAACGGGUGUAGUGAGGGACGGGUGUAGUGUGUAACGGGUGUAGUGAGGGACGGGUGUAGUGAGGGACGGGUGUAGUGAGGGACGGGUGUAUUGUAGGGAGGUGUGUGGAAUACUGACCUCAUUCUGGACCAUUCUUUCCCUGGCAUUUCAGCACUUGAUGGAAUCCUUCAGUUCAUCUCUUUCAUGUUUAAUGACUGUGAACACGAGUGAUUUAUUGAGCUCAUUGAAGAGUUGUGUGUGUAAGUGAUUACUGUUCUGAUCUUUGCCCGCCACCAACACCUCCCAUCCAAGAGACCCUCAGAGAGACAGACGGAUGUGAUUCAAAAAGAAAGGCUGCAAAAUGAUCACACACAGACAAUAGAAAAUUAAGUGGCUCAACCAAGCCUGACAUUAAUUGAGUAAACUGCCUGUGAGCCUUUGUGUCUGCAGUGGCUUAUGCAUUUGUGUGAUUAUUAAUGUGUGUUUUAUUUGUGUGGGUUUGAGUAUCUAAGUGAGUGUGUGUUUGUUUCCAAAGGGAGCAACCUGCUAUGACUGAUGUGAGAAAGUAGGAACACGUAAUUUCUGGGGAUUUCGAAACCUCACCUCCCUUUUCUGUUUUUCUUUACCUGAUCAUCUCUCUUAUUACAUUUCUUCUUUCUUCCUCCUUAUGAUACAGUACAUAAUCACACCAGAACCAAUUACAGUGCCAAGUCACCAAACAAUAGACAUUUUCAUUUAUGCUGAUUGUCUCCAUGCAAAGCUGCGUGAAGAGAAGCCAAUUGUACUUCCUUAAUCACAACAGAGACACUGUAUCAAACUAAUUAUCCUCACCCACAGAAGCUUUCAACUCAGUUUUUUUUAUAAACUCAGCUUUUGCAGUGUUGCACAGCGCGUUAUUUUCUAAAUGUGUUUUUUUGUUGAAAAUGAGUGAUUAAAAUGUCUCCAUACCCAAUCCAUCCUAAGAGGAUUUAUCUGUGAUGUGUGCCAGAAUGAAAGAUCGAAAGUGACAGGA
ensembl:lncRNA